AGUGAACGCUGGCGGUAGGCCUAACACAUGCAAGUCGAACGGCAGCACAGUAAGAGCUUGCUCUUACGGGUGGCGCGUGGCGGACGGGUGAGGAAUACAUCGGAAUCUACUUUUUCGUGGGGGAUAACGUAGGGAAACUUACGCUAAUACCGCAUACGACCUACGGGUGAAAGCAGGGGAUCUUCGGACCUUGCGCGAUUGAAUGAACCGAUGUCGGAUUAGCUAGUUGGCGGGGUAAAGGCCCACCAAGGCGACGAUCCGUAGCUGGUCUGAGAGGAUGAUCAGCCACACUGGAACUGAGGCACGGUCCAGACUCCUACGGGAGGCAGCAGUGGGGAAUAUUGGACAAUGGGCGCAAGCCUGAUCCAGCCAUACCGCGUGGGUGAAGAAGGCCUUCGGGUUGUAAAGCCCUUUUGUUGGGAAAGAAAAGCAGCAGGUUAAUACCCCGCUGUUCUGACGGUACCCAAAGAAUAAGCACCGGCUAACUUCGUG
rnacentral:rRNA from 1 species